UACGUAGGGGGCAAGCGUUGUCCGGAAUCAUUGGGCGUAAAGAGCGCGUAGGCGGCCCUGUAAGUCCGCUGUGAAAGUCAAGGGCUCAACCCUUGAAUGCCGGUGGAUACUGCAGGGCUAGAGUCCGGAAGAGGCGAGUGGAAUUCCUGGUGUAGCGGUGAAAUGCGUAGAGAUCGGGAGGAACAUCUGUGGCGAAGGCGGCCAUCUGGACCAGCACUGACACUGAGGCACGAAAGCGUGGGGAGCAAACAGG
rnacentral:rRNA from 1 species